AGUGAACGCUGGCGGUAGGCCUAACACAUGCAAGUCGAACGGCAGCACAGUAAGAGCUUGCUCUUACGGGUGGCGAGUGGCGGACGGGUGAGGAAUACAUCGGAAUCUACUUUUUCGUGGGGGAUAACGUAGGGAAACUUACGCUAAUACCGCAUACGACCUACGGGUGAAAGCAGGGGAUCUUCGGACCUUGGGCGAAUGAAUGAGCCGAUGUCGGAUUAGUUAGUUGGCGGGGUAAAGGCCCACCAAGGCAACGGUCCGUAGCUGGUCUGAGAGGAUGGUCAGCCACACUGGAACUGGGACACGGUCCAGACUCCUACGGGAGGCACCAGUGGGGAAUAUUGGACAAUGGGCGCAAGCCUGAUCCAGCCCUCCCGCGUGGGUGAAGAAGGCCUUCGGGUUGUAAAGCCCUUUUGUUGGGAAAGAAAAGCAGCAGGUUAAUACCCCGCUGUUCUGACGGUACCCAAAGAAUAAGCACCGGCUAACUUCGUG
rnacentral:rRNA from 1 species